CGUCCGGCGGACGCCGCGGCUGCUGGUAUUAUCUCCUGGGCGCGGGUGUUCAGCCGUCUCCCUCCGCCCGGCGGGCCCUGGGCGGUCGGCAGGUCAGCGCGCCGGGUCAGGUUUCCGCUGCCUCGCCGGAGCACUUAGUCUGAACCUGGGUGUGGUUUCCACUACUAGAGGCUCACUUUUUUCUGCUCCCUAUUCUGUCCCUCCAAGAAUGAAACAUGACUGAGGACUCCCAGAGAAACUUCCGUUCAGUAUAUUAUGAAAAAGUGGGGUUUCGUGGAGUUGAAGAAAAGAAAUCAUUAGAAAUUCUCCUAAAAGAUGACUGUCUGGAUAUUGAGAAACUUUGUACUUUUAGUCAGAGGUUCCCACUCCCAUCCAUGUACCGUGCAUUGGUCUGGAAGGUGCUUCUAGGCAUCUUGCCUCCACACCAUGAGUCCCAUGCCCAGGUGAUGAUGUAUCGCAAGGAGCAGUACUCUGAUGUCCUUCACGCCCUGGAAGUCAUUCGCUUUAUCAGUGAUGCCACACCUCAGGUUGAAGUCUAUCUCUACAUGCAUCGGCUAGAGUCUGGGAAGUUGCCUCGAAACCCCUCCUUUGCACUGGAGCCAGAAGAUGAAGUAUUUCUUGCCAUUGCUAAAGCCAUGGAAGAGAUGGUGGAAGAUAGCAUUGACUGUUACUGGCUCACCCGAUGCUUUGUGAACCAACUGAAUAACAAGUACCGGGAUUUUCUACCCCAGCUGCCAAAGGCUUUUGAGCAAUACUUGAACCUGGAAGAUAGCCGACUGCUGCGUCAUCUGAAGACGAGCUCUGCAGUGUCCAAACUGCCCUAUGAUCUCUGGUUCAAGAGAUGCUUCGCCGGCUGCUUGCCUGAAUCCAGCUUACAGAGGGUUUGGGAUAAAGUUAUAAGUGGAUCCUGUAAGAUACUAGUUUUUGUAGCUGUGGAAAUUCUCUUAACCUUUAAAAUAAAAGUAAUGGCACUGAACGGUGCAGAGAAGAUAACAAAGUUUCUGGAAAAUGGACAUAGUAUACUUUUACAUCAUAAGAAACAAUUUUCCCCUGGAAGUUUCACGUUGCUCUGUGGAUGGUAGUGCAGUCCUUUGGGGUCAGUGGCCUGAGCAGCAAUCUCCAUGAGUGUAUGCGCCCGGGACUGGAGUCUUAUCCCCUGAUGUGACCCCUAGGAGGUUUGUCAAGAAAAGGAAGAGAUCCCCCAGGACAGCUCGGAUGCGAUUGUGAGCAAGGCCAUCGACUUAUGGCACAAACACUGCGGGACCCCGGUCCACUCCGCCUGAACAUUCCUGACAUUGUGGACAGCCUGCCAGGCCUGCCCAGAGGGCUUUUUUGGGACAUGAUCUACUAAACUGAUAAUAGGGUUCUCACUUUGGUACUCAGAGUGUAAUUGUUUCCCAGCAGAAUUUAUUUAAGAUACCUGGAGUCACUGUGUUGUGGAAUGGCAUUUUCUGAUUAUACAGAACUACAGAGUUCAACUCUGAAUAGCAUUUAAAAAACAUUUUAUUUUAUUGAAGUAUAUGGGUGAUUUACAACGUGUUAAUUUCUGUACAGCAAAAUGAUUCAGUUAUACAUACAUAUACAUUCUUUUUCAUAUUCCUUUCCGUUAUGGUUGAUCACAGGGUAUUGAAUAUAGUCCCCUGUGCUUAUACAAUAGGAACUUGUUCUGAACAGCAUUUUGAAAGCGUUGUUUGAAAAUAGCUCCCAGCUUGUAAAGCGGUUGAGUCAGGGUGGGUGGGUGCUUCAGUAAGCAGGGUGUAACCAAGCUUGCCCUGCUCCUCUCUACUUAGCACCAAGCUAGUUACUUUCUAAGGUCUAUUUCUGGAAUGGCAAACAACUUCCUUACGUUGACAACUCGGAUUCCGCUUUUGUUCAUACAGUACCUGUUGAAAUCUAAGCUGACUUUCUAAAUCUUCUGAAAUCUGAAUCUGCUUUCUGAGACUUUGUCUUGCUAAAUAGGUUUAAAUAAAGGCCUUGCUUUUUUUUUUUCUCUGUGCCA